AUUGCUUCUCAGCCUUUUGGCUAAGAUCAAGUGUAGUAUCUGUUCUUAUCAGUUUAAUAAAAUGGCCUGCCUUACCUAUCUCCCCACCUGUAUAAAUCCUUCAUAAUGCAGACUGAAUAUAUUACCCAAGCCAUC
rnacentral:snRNA from 1 species